AGAGUUUGAUCAUGGCUCAGGAUGAACGCUGGCGGCGUGCCUAACCCAUGUAAGUCGAGCGAUCUGUUAGCAAUAGCAGAGAGCGGCGGAAGGGUGAGUAACACGUAGGAGACCUGCCUCAUUGCAGGGGACAACUUCGCGAAAGCGGAGCUAAUACCCAAAAGGGUCGGUAGUUCGGUCUGCCGAGCAGAGUAUUGCGAAAGCGAUGCGUGAUGAGAGGGUCCUGCGGCCCAUCAGCUAGUUGGUAGGGUAGCGGCCUACCAAGGCAACGACGGGUAGGGGGUCUGAGAGGACGAUCCCCCACACUGGAACUGAAACACGGUCCAGACGCCUACGGGUGGCAGCAGGGAGGAAUAUUGGGCAAUGGGCGAAAGCCUGACCCAGCAACGCCGCGUGGAGGACGAAGGCCUUCGGGUCGUAAACUUCUUUUGAGGGAGACGAGAAAGGACGGUAUCCCUCGAAUAAGCCACGGCUAACUACGUGCCAGCAGCCGCGGUAAAACGUAGGUGGCGAGCGUUAUCCGGAAUCAUUGGGCGUAAAGAGCUUGUAGGUGGCUUGGUAAGUUGGACGUGAAAGCUCCGGGCUUAACUUGGAGAGGCCGUUCAAUACUGCGAGGCUAGAGGAUGUCAGAGGGGAGUGGAAUUCCUGGUGUAGCAGUGAAAUGCGUAGAUAUCAGGAGGAACACCCGUGGCGAAGGCGGCUCCCUGGGGCAUCCCUGACACUGAGAAGCGAAAGCUAGGGGAGCAAACGGGAUUAGAAACCCCGGUAGUCCUAGCCGUAAACGAUGGGUGCUGGGUGUGCGCGGAACUAACCCCGCGCGUGCCGAAGCUAACGCGUUAAGCACCCCGCCUGGGAACUACGAGCGCAAGCUUAAAACUCAAAUGAAUUGACGG
rnacentral:rRNA from 1 species